rnacentral:rRNA from 1 species
UGGGGAAUAUUGCACAAUGGGCGCAAGCCUGAUGCAGCCAUGCCGCGUGUGUGAAGAAGGCCUUCGGGUUGUAAAGCACUUUCAGCGAGGAGGAAGGUGGUGAGCUUAAUACGCUCAUCAAUUGACGUUACUCGCAGAAGAAGCACCGGCUAACUCCGUGCCAGCAGCCGCGGUAAUACGGAGGGUGCAAGCGUUAAUCGGAAUUACUGGGCGUAAAGCGCACGCAGGCGGUUUGUUAAGUCAGAUGUGAAAUCCCCGGGCUCAACCUGGGAACUGCAUUUGAAACUGGCAAGCUAGAGUCUCGUAGAGGGGGGUAGAAAUUCCAGGUGUAGCGGUGAAAUGCGUAGAGAUCUGGAGGAAUACCGGUGGCGAAGGCGGCCCCCCUGGANGAAGACUGACGCUCAGGUGCGAAAA